GUUGCAUCUAUGAAUUAAGAUCUCUCUUAAUUCAUAAUUAUCCUAAAUUAACUAAUUAUUAAUCCUUUUAUCUUAAUUAAUUCUUAAUUAAAUACUAAUAACAGUAAUUAAGUAUUAAUGCCAAAUAAUAAUUAAAUGCCAAAGGCCAUUAAGGUUAAUGACCUUAGGUCAUCACACAAUCCCAAAAUCACUCAACCCUAAUUAUGAGGAUUUAACUAAUUAUUAUCUAAUUAUUUUGGAAUUAUUAUUUAAUUACUAAAUAGGGGUUUAAUAAUAUUUCAUUCAAACAUUAUCCAAAUGCCACCAAAUUUUGUGUGGAGCCAGGGAAUAAUAUUUAGAGGCAUCCCACAAAUUUUGGUGAUUUUUGGACAUAUCACUAAAUUAUUAAAAUUCAUAAAAUUUUUGUUCAUUAAAUAAAAGAGGCAAUUUUUAUACAAAUAUUCCAGAAAAGGAAACCUACUAUUUUUCUUGUGUUCUACUUAUUUCAUGGGACCUAUACAAAAAAUUUCAUCAUUUUUAGAGCAGCACAUAAUUUAUUACACAACAUCAAACAUAAAUAAAAAACUGCAGAAAAAGAAAAAGAAUAAAAACAAAACUAUGCCGCGAGCCGGGCGGGUCCCGCCCGUCAGAUCCUCCUCCUACCUCCCUCCAUCGGCUCGGCCGACCGCCGGCACGCCGUCGGUGAGCCUCCGGCUCCUGUGGCGGGGUGGUUUAGCGUCUACGGCCCUUUGCGCAUACUCUGGGACCCUCAGAUCAAGCGCUAUCCCUCUCUAACCCCCAUGCCCGCGUCCAUGGCGGACGGCGAGGCUAUCGGCGCACGCACCAGCCACUACAAGUGGGUAGAACACGAACCAACCAGCGCAUAAGCUUCAGGGGCUCACCACGACUCCGACAAGGUAGAACGCGGCGGUUGAAAAGCUCGGGGAAAGGCUGGCCACGGCGAGGUGCUUGCGGCGGUGCUUUGGCCGGAGUUGGAGAGGGGAAUGGCUCGGGUUGGAGCUACGGUAGGGUAGAGCGUGUGUUUGGGGGCGCAAUCGAUGGCUACGAGCUUGGCGAAGCUAUGGGAGUGCUCGGAUGGCUCAGAAGGGAAGCAGGCGAGGGGAAUUUUAGGGGCGCAGCAAGGUCGUCGGCGUCGGGCGAAAAAAAAAAGAAAAGCAAGGCUGCCGCGCAGUGGGAGCACCGAGGGGAGUGGAUGAGCACGCCGGGGACUUGUCCACUUCACGGCGGGCUCGUGCAGCCAAGCAGCUGCGUGGCUAGGCACGUGGCGGCGCGCGCGAAGGCGGCUCUGCUCCGGC
rnacentral:lncRNA from 1 species